UUUCCUGUCCAAACGUGCCUUCACAGCACAUUAAAGAGAAAAUCUGCAUGCGCCUAUGUCGACCACAGAAUUUAAAUAAAUAAGAUCGUCUGAGGGCUUAAAGCUAAUCCAAUUAGCUUUCCCACAGCUAUAUAUACAUCAGUGUGUAUUUGAAAUCUGAACAGAUUCAUCUUUUUACAGACUUGUAUCUCCAUGGAUACUGGAAUGGAGCUUCAACUAUGCCAAUACAUGCCUUAUGUAAGCUGUUUAGAAUUAAUAUUUCAUUUUUGCGAUGUGGGGUGUAGUGGGGGCGGGGGCGAUCGAGAAGUGUCGAAUACUUGAAAAGGAGAAGCAUGACUACGUGAAUUUGGAAUUAUCAUUCAUGCAAGGGGAAUGAAGAACUCCUGGUCCGAUUAUCACUUCCUGUUAAGUUUUUAUUGUUAAUGAUUUGUGUUAUUUUGAAAUAUAUUUCAUAUUGUGCAAUUAAACUCAUCCAGUUGUGGAAAUGAAUUUAGAACCAAUAUAUGAGAAAUCUGAGGACGUAAUAAAUUUUCUGCUGUACUGCUGAAUUUUGUUAGAUUAUAAUUUUUCUUCAAUUAUGGUAGUUUAUCACUGUUUUCACCUUAUAUAUCUCUGAAGUACAAUAUAAUCUUGACCCCC
rnacentral:lncRNA from 1 species